CCAUGGUUCAGUGAAACCGUUAAAGAAGGAGAUUACGUGGUCCUCAUGAUGAAUGCUAGAGCAGCAGAGCUGAAUAUUUUGACAGAACUAUUCAAAACUGGAUCAAUAUGCUAUGUCGAUGAACUAUUCCUUCGCUGCUCAGCUGCAGACUGCAAAAAUGCUCUUUGUGGAGACUGCAUUACUCUUUUCAAAACUCUUAGGGAAAGUGGUGUUUUUGCUCAUCAGUGGUGGGGAGAGUAGACUUUGUCAAGAGUCUGGUGCAUUAAUAUUAUUGUCUUUUCUUUCAACUUAUGCUAUAGUGUCUGUUGGGAAUAAAUUGAGGGGAGGUUGUAGGUUGAUACUGUAAUCUUCCUUUCUUCCCUUUGUAACUGCAUUUUAUGUCUUAUGUAUGUGUCCGUGUGUGUGUGAGUUUCUGUUGUCUGUAAAAUCCUCUUUUAGCAUAUGGAGGAAAAGUCUACUAUGUUUUAAAAAUUAUGCUUUAUUGUGAAUCCAUGUGGUUACUAUUUAUGCAGUUUGCCCCAUUUGUGUUUUUUGUUUUUGGUUGUUUGAUGGUGAAUUCUAGCUAAUAUUCAAGAUUGUUUUAGGAAAUAGAAGGGCAACUUUGGAGCAACGGUAAAGUUGUCUCCGUGUGAUUUAUAGUGUACGGGUUCGAGCCAUAUAAGCAAUCAACAACAACAACAACAAUCCAGUGGAAUAUCACAAGUGGGGUUUGGGGAGGGUAGUGUGUACGCAGACCUUACCCCCUACUCCGGAUGAGUAGAGAGGCUGUUUCCGAUAGACCCUCAAAGAAGAUGAAAAGAGAUAGUGGCGCAGUAAUAUCAGAGGAAGCAAGCAAGAAAGAAAGAUAACUUCAGCAACGCAAUAACCAAAAAAUAGAUAGAAAACAAUAACAAUAAGCAGUAACAGUACUACAGACACAAUGAAAGUAAUAUGGAUACAACAAAAGCCACUAGCAUCCUAAGACACUACACUAUCGGACUAGCCUCCUAGCCUCCUACGACCUAACCUUCAGUCCUAAAGAAGUAAUAUGGACACAAUUGAAGCCACUAGCAGCCUAUGACAAACACAUGCUAGCCUCCUACUUCCUAUCCUACAACCUUAAUGUUCGCCCUCCACAACUUCCUAUCAAGGGCCAUGUCCUUGGAAAUCUGAAGUCGCGCCAGGUCUUGCCUGAUCACCUCUCUCCAAUAUUUCUUUGGCCGCCCUCUGCCUUUUCUCACACCCGUCAAGGCCAACCGUUCACACCUCCUAACGGGGGUAUCCAUGCUUCUCCUUCGCACGCGCCCGAACCAUCCAAGCCUAACUUCCCGCAUUCUGUCUUCUAUGGGAACCACACCCACCUUCACCCGGAUAUCUUCAUUCUUAAUCUUAUCCAGCCUAGUGUGCCCGCACAUCCAUCUCAACAUCCUCAUUUCUGCAACUUUCACCUUCUGGAUAUGAGAAUUCUUGACUGACCAACACUCAGCACCAUACAUCAUGGCCGGUCUAACCACCGCUCUAUAGAACUUACCUUUAAGUAUCGGGGGCACCUUCCUGUCACACAAGACACCAGACGCUAACCUCCAUUUCAUUCAUCCCACCCCUGUACGGUACGCAACAUCCUCAUCAAUCUCCCCAUCCUCCUAGAUAACCGAUUCGGGGUACUUGAAGCUCCCUUUCUUGGGAAUGACUUGAGAGUCAAGCCUCACGUCCAUGUCCGUUUCUCCCGAAACGCCGCUAAACUUGCACUCCACGUAUUCUGUCUUAGUCCUGCUCAACUUGAAACCUUUAGACUCAAGGGUUUGUCUCCAAAUCUCCAACCUCUCGUUAACACCGCCUCGCGUCUCAUCGAUCAGAAUAAUAUCAUCGGCGAAUAACAUACACCAUGACACCUCCCUUUGGAUAUGGUGUGUCAGUGCGUCCAUCGCCAGGGCAAUAGGAACGGAAUGAGCGUCGAUCCUUGGUGUAAACCCAUAACAAUCGGAAAAUGCUUCGAGUCGCCCCUCACUGUCCUAACCCGAGUCUUAGCUCUAUCAUAUAUGUCCGUAAUCAUCCUAAUAUAAGCCAUAUAAACAACCACUAAUGUACUAAUGCUUGCAUUGGGUAGGCUGUCUAUAUCACAUCCUUUAGGGUGCAGCUUUUUCCUGGACCAUGCGUUAAUGCGGAAUAUUUUGUGCACUGGACUGCCCCUAAGAAAAUAUGUAGACAAAAGAUCUUAAUCCUAGUAGCAUAUAAUUCAUUUGCUAUUCUACUUGAACUGAUCAAUGUUCUGGUUUUUCUUUUUCUUUUCUGAGGUAGAGAAAGGACCUAAGAAAUCUUCCCCUCUAACUAUCCAAAAUAAUUUAGCCUAUUAUUGUUGCUCCUUUACCAUUUCCCAAGUUUCCAUUGAGAGAAUAGAACGGGAAUAAAAAUGAACUGAUAACGAGAAUUAAAGUAAGGUUUUUGAUUAUUUUUUCUAUUUCGUUUCAUUUUUCUUCUGGGUAAUGUCUAGGUGUUCCUUUUGUGGGGUUUCCUUUUACUCUUUUUUAGUCGAAAGUCUAUUGGAAAUAACUAUUCUAUCUUCACAAGUAAUGGUGGCAAAAUGGUUAAAAGCAAACAGUUAUCCACUCAUAUUAUUCAUUAAAAAAUGGGUUGGAUAAUACACUUUUUAAAAACGGGUCAAAUAUGGAUAAAAAUCAUAUUAUCUUAGAAAAUGGAUAACCAAUAGAUAACUAACAACUUUAACUUUUACAUUUGUGUAAAGCCUCAAAUUGGGAGUUCCUCAAUUUUAGAAGACUAGGAAUUCUCCCAAAAGUUAUCAUAUUCAAGAAACCGUGGAUAAUAUGGAUAUCCAUAUUAUCCGUUGGUUAACCCGUUUUUAAUACGUAUUAAAUAUGGGCCGGAUCGCAUAAUUUCAUUUUUGCAUUGCAUGUUUUUGGCACGCCCAUAUCUGAUCCAACCCGACCACUUGCCACCAAUGUUCACAAGGUAAAGUAAAGUUUGCGUACACAUUAUCCUUUAAUCCUACACUGUGGGAAUACACUAGGUAUGUUUUGUUUUGUAUUCCAUCAAGGGAUGAGAGUAAAUUUGGAUAAAGCAUAUCCUAUUGACCUAAUAACCCAAUAUAAUGACCUACUCAAAAUCGAAGAGGAAUUUUGAAAAAUUAAAAUCAAGAAUAAAUUGGCUCCAAGAUGGAGAUGCCAACACACAAAAAUUUCACUUAACUAUUUUACAACGACGUAGACGAAACCGUAUUACUGCUCUUAAAGACUCAGUGGGUAAUUGGAUAUUAGAUAAAAAAGAAAUCAACAUCUCAAUAGAAGGCUAUUAUCACAACUUAUUCAUUACUAGUUAUACCCAUCACACUAACCCUGAAUUUAAAGCUUGUUACAAUACCAUCAAUACUCAUGACUAUUCAAAGUUGGACUCAUCCAUUACAUCAUUAGAAAUCACAAAUUCCCUUAAGUCUUUCCAACCUUUUAAAACACCUGGAACUGAUGGAUUACAUCCAUACUUCUUUCAAAAUUACUGGACUCAAGUGAACUCUUCAGUCACUUCUUUUUGUGAGGAUGUCUUUAACACACAACAGAUUCCCCCAUAAAUCAAUAAAACUUAUCUAUGCCUCAUCCCUAAAGCACAACAACCUAUCCUCAUCACUCAAUAUCGACCAAUAAGCCUUUGUAACACUCUUUAUAAGUUAAUUACCAAAAUCAUACUCCACCGUAUCAAACCAACUCUAUUUAGUCUCAUUAGCCCGGAACAAUCAUCCUUCUUGCAUUAUCAUAGAGCAACUGAUAAUGCACUUAUAGUACAAUAGAUUAUGCAUCAUUUCAAGAGAAAAAAAGGUGCUCAGGCUUCUUUUCUAUUCAAAUUAGAUCUCGAAAAAGCUUUUGACAAACUGGAAUGGGGAUUCAUACAUGACACCCUCCACUACUUCAACUUCCCACCUAAGUUGAUCAAAUUAAUAAUGUCUUGCAUAACUACCUCUUCCAUCUCAAUUCUCAUUAAUGGACAACCCACCCCUUUCUUCUCACCUUCAAGAGGCAUUCGUCAAGGGGACCCCCUAUCACCCUAUAUUUUCAUCCUUUAUAAGGAAAUACUCUCACGUAAAAUACAUGUUGAAGUAGAUUACCAAAAGUGGCACCCCAUCAAAUUAUCUAGACAAGGCCCACAAAUCUCUCACCUCCAAUUCGCUGACGACAUUACUUUAAUUUCAAAAAAUACCACAAAGAGCAUCAAUUCUAUAAUUGACACACUCAACCUGUUUACUAAGGUUUCGAGCUUAACUAUUAAUUAUACCAAAAAUAAAUCUCUAAAAACACUUCCAUAGCGGAUAGAGAAACUGUGAUCCAUUCAUUCCAUAUGGUUGAAGGGUAAACUUUCGGCAAAUUUCUUGGAUAUCCUAUUUUCACUAAAUAACCUACAAAAUCUGAUUUUUAAUUCCUUCUUGAUAACUACAAAAAUAGACUAGCCGGGUAAAAAAUAAAUUUGUUAACAAUGGCGGGAGGAACCACCAUAAUAAAAGCCACCCUAAAUUGCUUACCAAAUCAUGUAAUGCAAUUGAUAAAAGUACCUACUAGUAUUACUAAUAAGUUAGAAUGGCAUCAAAGAAACUUUCUUUGGGGAACCACAACUCAGAAAUGUAAACUCCACCUUAUUAAAUGGAAAACCAUCUAAUUGACCAAAAACUGUGGUGGACUGAAAAUUCAUAAUCUUUCGGGAUACAAAAAAAUGCCUUACUUGGAUCCCUAGAUUGAAGAUUGUUCCAAUCCCCUUCAUCCCAUUGGGCUUCAAUCCUCAUAUCAAAAUACUAAGGAAUACUACCUCUACUAAUAUUUCCUCAAAUUGGAAAGCCAUCAAACAAGGGUGGGCUUCCUGUUAAAAUGGAAUAAAGCAUACUGCAAAUGGAAACCACAUUAAUUUUUGAACAGAACCUUGGUUAGGCCCCAACUUGAUACUUAGACAAUUAAUUGAAGGCCCCCUAACCCAUAAUGAACAAUCAUCUACAUUAGCACUAUAUAUCGAUGGGAACUCAAUAAAUCUUCCAAAAAUACCUUUUGAACUCCCAAAUAAUUUAAAUGACCUAAUUAGUAAUCAAUAUAUCCCUACCAUCACGAAUACAAAUUCCUACGGUCACAUCUACUGGGGCCUCACCCCAAAGGAAAUCUUUAGGGUAAAAUUAUUGUAUAAACAAAUGCGUGCUAAACCAAAAAAUAAUUCCUUCCAAUGGUUAUGAAACCUUCAACUACCCCAAAAAUUAAAGCAUUUCCUUUGUCUUAGGAGUCACCAACGUCUACCCACAAAAAGUUAUCUCCACAAUAUACACUUAUCCCAAAAUUCCCUUUGCCCAGUCUGCCAGUCCAACAAUAAAACCUGUCACGACCCCAAACACCCCGAUCGUGAUGGCUCUUAUCACAGUACUAGACUAGCCGAAACAACAUGAACAAUAUAAAGGUCUUUUGUAAAUUCAUUUUCUAAUAAGAUAUAAUCUCAAAUCAUUCAUUUUAAUAUAUAUCAAAAAUACGCGGAAGGACAAAUACGUAAGUACAUCAACCCAGUCCGAUCCUGCUGUCACUAGUCAUGAGCCACUAAAUACAACCCAAGACUGAAAUAAAAAGUACUAAGGAUAGGAAAGAGAAAGGCAGAGCUGCGAACGUCGUGCAGCUACCUUGCAAUCUCUGGAUAAUACUCUGAAGGCAACGAUCAACUCUCACUCGGAGGCUCUAGCAUCUAGAUCUGCACACAAGGUGCAGGGAGUAACGUGAGUACGCCAACUCAGUAAGUAACCAGAGUAAAUAAAGGCUGAGUGCAGUGACGAGCAUUUAAAAUCAUAUACAUACUUUAUAAAAGAAUCUCAACAAAAAUAUCAAAGUCAAAAUCUGUAGUUCAAUUACCGAAUAUCUCAUAAAAACUUCAAUUUCAAUAAAAGUUCUUUAAAAACUUUUACUCAACACUUUACAACAGAGGCUCAGUAUCAAAGAAGAGUGGGAACAGUAAAUUCAUAAACAAGUCCCUCGGCAAAGUAUCACUCAUAAGUAUAUCCCCUCGAGCAAGCCUCUCAGUCACUCGUGACUUAUCUCUCGUCAAUCAGUACUCACAGUCAUCACUCCCGCUUAAUAGAUAUCUCAUAAUAAUAACUACUGCGGCGUGCAGCCCGAUCCGUAAUAUAUAGUCGACUGCGCUCACUAGGGGUAUGCAGACUCCGGAGGGGCUCCUACAGCCCAAGCGCUAUAUCGCUGCGGUGUGCAUAUAUAUAUAUAUAUCGCUGCGGCAUGUAGCCCGAUCCAUAAAUAUAUAUAAUCCUCACCAUCAGGUCCUCGACCUCUCUCAGUCAUUAACCUUAUAGCCACACGGGCAUUUUAGUAAAAAUCAGGGAAUUCAGCCCAAACAGUUUCCAUAUAUUUAAAAGUAGAGUAAUGAAACUGAAUCAAAAUAAACAGGUAAAAAUCAUGACUAAGGAUAUGCUUCCAAAUCAAACAGUGUAAGGAAAGUAGUAAAAUACCCCUGAAGGUCCAAACAGUUCGGCACAAGUCCCCAAACAUGGCAUUCAACCCAAGUUAACAGAUUCAUUUCUAAAACUCAUGGAUAUCAUAUACAGUUUAUCAAAAUACGUAACUAUACAGUCGCUACGGGACGGACCUAGUCACAAUUCCUACGGGUGCACGCCUACAUGCCCAUUACGUAGUAUGUGCGUCACCUCAUUUAUCAAAACAGUACGAAAUUUCGGGGUUUCAUACCCUCGGGUCUAGAUUUACAAGAGUUAUUUACCUCAAACCGGACGAAAAUCUACUUCGCAAUGCCCUUGCCUCUCGACUCGGCUUCAAAUCGUCUCGAAUCUAUCCAAAAUCAGAUUCAUAACAUCAAUACAAGCCAAAGGGACAAAGCCCACUUGAAAAUUAUCAAAUUAAACUCAAAAUCCCGAAAUUGGUCAAACCCGACCCUCGGGUCCGCGUCUCAAAAUCCGAUAAAAAUCACAACACUAGAAUCCUCAUCCUCUCACGAGUUAUACAUACCAAGAACAUCAAAAUCGGACCUCAAAUGGCCCCUCAAAUCCCCAAUGAAAACUCUAUAAUUUCAAGCCAUAGUCUCCCAAUUUCUUCUCUAAUUUUCCAUAACUUUCAUCAUUAUACAAUGGAAUAAUUGCCACAAACAUAAGAUACAAGGUCCAAGUAGCUUACCUCACUGAAAACACUUAAAUUCCUCCUUGAAAUCGAAAUUCCCAAGCUCCAACUCGGCCAAAAAUGGUGGAUAAAAGACUGAAAUUCGCGAAGUGAGGUUUAUAUAGUUUCUGCCCAGCGAUUUUCGCACCUGCGAUCCACUUCCUGCACCUGCGGGACCGCUUCUGCUUUCCAGCUAACCGCUUAUGCAGUUUUCACUUAUUUUCCCUUAACCACAUUUGCGACUCCCCACCGCACCUGCGGUAACGCAGGUGCGUUCCUUCUUCCGCACCUGCGGCUCCUGGCCUUCUCACUUAUGGCCGCAUCUGCAGCUGCUUCCUCGCUCCUGCGGACGUCGCAUAUACGGUUCCCUCUCCGCAUGUGUGGUUAUGAUAGUACACAACAGCUGAAGCUGAUCAUUAUCAAUACCAAACUUUUCGACAAUCUUCUGAAUUCAUCGUGAGGCCCCCAGGACCUCAACCAAAAAUACGAACAUGUCACAUAUCAUCAUUCAAACUCAUACCUAUCAUACCUCCCUUUUACUACCCCGAGGGUAUAUGAGAGUUUUUUCAAUUGAAGUGACAUAAAUCGAAAUNNNNNNNNNNNNNNNNNNNNNNNNNNNNNNNNNNNNNNNNNNNNNNNNNNNNNNNNCGAGGAAAUUUUCGACUUUAUUUUACAGUCUGCGAACCAGAAAUUCUAGAUAAGGAAUUCUGUUAACCCGGAAAAAGGUGCUAGCCAUUCCCGGAUUCCGUGGUUCUAGCACGAUGGCUUAGUGAUUAUUACUUGGCUUAAAUUGUUUAACUACUCAUUUUUAAGACGUAUGUGCAUUUAUCUUUUACCGCUUUUAAUUACUUGAAUUAAUCGUAAUUAAAGAAUUGAGUUACGCGUAUGUAUACUCUCUUCUUCGGGUGCGUCAAAAAUUAUGUCACGCGAACAUGUCCACAAUUAAUAAUGCUUUGUGUAUUUUAUUAAGGAAAUUUGGUUGAAGUUGCGUGAAUGCAUCCCUCGGGUUACUUUUAGAAUUAAAUUUGCAAUUAUGUUACGUGAACGUAUACACAAUCACAAUACUAAUCUAAAUCGAGCCUAAAGCAAACUACGAUUAUUUAGGAUUAUUUUAAUACUAAGUUAAUAUUUAUACGAGGGCCAUAGAUUAUUUAGUGAAAAGAUGUCACACCUCAAUUUUUAGAAGGCUUGUUUAAUCAAGAUAAUAAAGGAGUUAUUACUCACAAAUAUUUUGGGCUUAAUGUCAAACAAGCCUAUAACGAUUUGGACAAGAGAAACUGGGCCAAUAGCAGCCCAGUAUAUCAUUGACAAGGUGAAAUAAAGGGAAGUGGAGAUGUCACCAAUUGGGCUCCAAAAUCGGGCCCAGAUGCAGGACCAGAGGGAAAUUGAAUAACAGAGGUCUAAUUUGGCUAGGAAUCACGACUUGGGCCAUCAACAGACCCAAUUUUUCAAUGGUCAAGUUUUAAAUACUAACAACAACUACUGCAAUCACAACAAAAAUUUUAUGCCAAUAUUUGCAUGAGUUUUAAAACAAAACGCAUAAUACAAUAGGCCCUAACUGAUUAAGUUGUAUCUAAUAAUAAAAGGACCAAAUUAGAAUCUACACCAUUUUAAAACACGGAUGAACAAUCACUUUUAAAAAUACAUAUAUGGAAUCAGUAGCGAUUAAGGGCUAAAUGGUUGUAUUCUUUCUUACAAGGGGACUAACUCUUAUUUACAAGACGUAUAAAAGACCUUUCAAUUGAAACACUCAUUCUAAAUCAAAAUUUUAAAGCUUCCAAAUAUCUUACACAUCACAGCCAUGCUAGCAAAGAAGAAAUCCAACUAUAAUACUAACACUCCUCAUGACUUACAUGAAUAUGUUUAUCUAAAAGAGUCUAAAACAACCCUACAUAUACAGUCCUUCAAAUAGUAGCCCAGUCUCUUAUAUACACAUGAAGUUCCAACUCUAAUUUUCAGCUCAAAAAAAAAGCUAAGACAAAACUGGAUAAAAAUAGACAUCGAUUUGACAUAAUGAAAUGAGGACUUAAACAGAUGAAGAGAAAGAAUGAAAAUGGAAAAAAGAAGAAAAGAAGCAAGAAAGUGUUUUAAAAAGAAGAAACACAGAUCUGCAGCUUCAACAUGUAACCAAGCAUAUUAUAACUUCAACUUUGCAUUUCAUGGUUUGGUGAAGUACCUGGUACAACAAGUAAAGCAAAAUUCUGAGGUCAAACAAUAUAAAAAUCCACCAAAAAAAUAGCAACCAAAUGAGCAACGAAAAUCACAGCUUCAAUGAGCAGCUCUACUUCAACUUAGAACCCAGAAAAUUCCCAUGAAAUAGAACCCUUUUGUAAAAAAAACUAGUAUGCUUUUCGAGUGAACUUAGAAUGAGAGAAUGCAUAGAACUUUUAGGUCUUUCUUUUAGGUUAUCCAAAUCUGAUUUUUCUGUAUAGAAAUGGUACCAUAUAUAGGUACCAAAAAUGCCAUGUGCUGGAGGAAUUAUUCCUCGGCCACAAAGAGUAUAUUCCAACAGAAUUGGACAACUGGUUUUUCCCCAUUGGUUUCAGUACUUUGUACUAACCAAAUGAGGCCAGCUGCCCCUCUAUUCUAGAACAUUACUGCCUAAAAUUAUCUGAUUUCAAAAACUAUCUAACCCUUUAUGACCCCCUAAGUUUCUAUACUUAUAAUUAACCCUCUACAAAUCCUUUAGGAAUUGAAACACAUCAAGUUUAGAAUUGGAUUGAUUACGAGCAAAAAAUAAGAUAAGCAAAGAUUACUAAACGAAACUCAAAAUGCACUACGAACUUAAACUGGUUAAACAUGAGUUAAGCUAAAAAAAACCUUAAUGAUCCAAAAUUAUGGCCUCCUGAAUUAUUUAAAUCGUCACAGAAAAAGGGCAAACAUAGAAAGUGGAGUGAUGAACAGAGAAGAAGAUAAAGAAAAGGAUGACGAAAUAGAAAAGGAAAAGAAAAGAAGAAGAUGAAAGGAUACCUUUGCUAUAAUGGGAAACCAAUUGGCUUAGGCGGAACGGGUCACCUUCGAUUUAAAAUACAAUAGGUGUUAGACGAAUGUUCUCGUCAAGAACAAAUGGAUAACACCCAUUUCCGGCUUAAAUCCUCUUCGGAAAACCCCAAAUCGUGUGAUCUAGGUUUUUGCAUGUUUUCAGAUCCGAAAUUUAAAUGGCUUAAGGGGAAAUCGAAGGAUAUGGCUUGGGGAUUUGGAAAGGGGAGAGGACAAGGGUUAACUGGUGGGAAUUUGGGGAGGUUUGGAGCAGUUAGGGUUUUUUAGGCCUGAUUUCAAUCUAAAGUUUGAGCAAAUCGGCAGGGAUUCGAGGGAAGCUAGUUGGGGAUUGGGAAUGAGGAGGUUAUGGGGAAUUCAUGGUGUUAUUUUGGGAAAGAUUGGAACACCGGAACCGCCGUGAGGCGAUUCCCGACGGGUGUUUGACGGCGGAACGGCGAGGGAAUAAAGAGGCGGCUAGGGUUUGGUUCUUUGAGAGAGGGGAGAGAUUGAGUGAGGGUUGAAU
rnacentral:lncRNA from 1 species